UGGCUCCUUGGUCAAGCGGUUAAGACACCGCCCUUUCACGGCGGUAACACGGGUUCGAAUCCCGUAGGAGUCAU
rnacentral:tRNA from 1 species